AAAUUAUAUUAUAUAUAUUAUUAUAUUAUUAAUUAAUAUAAUUAAUAGGAAUUAAGACAAAUCAUAAUGACCUUUAUAAUAUGGGCAAUAAACAUGCUAUAAUAAUUUGAGAAUAAAAUUAUAAUAAUAUUUUAAAAAAAAGAAUAAAAUUAAUAAUUAAAAACAAAUUAAUAUUUAAUAUAGAUUAUAUAUUAUAUAUUUAAUAUGGAUUAUUAUCUGAAAUUUGAUAAUAUGAAAUAAGAAUUACUAGUAAUACGUAAAUAACCAAGUUACGGUGAAUAUUCUAACUGUUUCGCACUAAUUACUCAUCACACAUUGAAAUAUAUAUUUAUCUGAUUAAUAAUUAUAUUUAAUAAUUUUUUAUUAAUUAAUUAAUUAUUAUUAUUAUAUUAUUAUAUGAGAAUAUAUUGAUUAAUGUGAAGUUG
rnacentral:rRNA from 1 species